rnacentral:rRNA from 1 species
AGGCAUCUCUUGAAUAUCAAAGGUGAGCCAGUACAGGAUGGACCCGCGUCUGAUUAGCUAGUUGGUAAGGUAACGGCUUACCAAGGCGACGAUCAGUAGCCGACCUGAGAGGGUGAUCGGCCACAUUGGAACUGAGACACGGUCCAAACUCCUACGGGAGGCAGCAGUGGGGAAUAUUGCACAAUGGGCGAAAGCCUGAUGCAGCAACGCCGCGUGAGUGAUGAAGGCCUUCGGGUCGUAAAACUCUGUCCUCAAGGAAGAUAAUGACGGUACUUGAGGAGGAAGCCCCGGCUAACUACGUGCCAGCAGCCGCGGUAAUACGUAGGGGGCUAGCGUUAUCCGGAUUUACUGGGCGUAAAGGGUGCGUAGGCGGUCUUUCAAGUCAGGAGUGAAAGGCUACGGCUCAACCGUAGUAAGCUCUUGAAACUGGGAGACUUGAGUGCAGGAGAGGAGAGUGGAAUUCCUAGUGUAGCGGUGAAAUGCGUAGAUAUUAGGAGGAACACCAGUUGCGAAGGCGGCUCUCUGGACUGUAACUGACGCUGAGGCACGAAAGCGUGGGGAGCAAACAGGAUUAGAUACCCUGGUAGUCCACGCUGUAAACGAUGAGUAC